CGAGGGGUGCAAGCGUUGCUCGGAAUUAUUGGGCGUAAAGGGUAGGUAGGUGGUCUGAUUUGUCAGGGGUGAAAGCCUUGGGCUUAACCCAAGAAGUGCCCCUGAAACGGUCAGACUUGAGUCUUGGAGAGGGUCGUGGAAUUCCCGGUGUAGCGGUGAAAUGCGUAGAGAUCGGGAGGAACACCAGAGGCGAAGGCGGCGACCUGGACAAGUACUGACACUCAACUACGAAAGCGUGGGGAGCAAACAGGAUUAGAUACCCAGGUAGUCCACGCUGUAAACGAUGGGCACUCGAUUUGGCGGGUCUUGACCCCUGCUGAGUCUGAGCUAACGCGAUAAGUGCCCCGCCUGGGAAGUACGGUCGCAAGACUA
rnacentral:rRNA from 1 species